rnacentral:rRNA from 1 species
UACGUAGGGUGCAAGCGUUGUCCGGAAUUAUUGGGCGUAAAGCGCGUGUAGGCGGCUUUGCAAGUCGGGUGUGAAAGCCCUCAGCUCAACUGAGGAAGUGCGCCCGAAACUGCAGAGCUUGAGUGCCGGAGAGGAAGGCGGAAUUCUCGGUGUAGAGGUGAAAUUCGUAGAUAUCGAGAGGAACACCGGUGGCGAAGGCGGCCUUCUGGACAGCAACUGACGCUGAGACGCGAAAGCGUGGGGAGCAAACAGG